AGGGCUGUAGCUCAGGGGUAGAGCGCUACCUUGACACGGUAGAGGCCGGCGGUUCAAAGCCGCCCAGCCCUA
rfam:Enhygromyxa salina strain DSM 15201 ES-Contig_139, whole genome shotgun sequence.